rnacentral:misc_RNA from 1 species
AGUUAAACAGUACGUGAAAUUGUUGAAAGGGAAACGAUUGAAGUCAGUCAUACCAACGGGAAAUCAACCUUUUGAGCUUGGUCUUGUGGGUUUUGAAGAGUUUCAAAGCCUUCAGAUUCGCGGGAUUGGGAUCUCUCGGUGUACUUUUUCGUACGGUUAGUCAACAUCGGUUUUGAAUGUCAUAAAAUGACUGGAGGAAUGUAGCUUCGAUCUCGUAUUGAAGUGUUAUAGCCUUUGGUAGAUGUGAUGUUUGAGACCGAGGAUUGCAACGGAUACCCUUCAGGGCUAUUCGUCUGAUCUCUGAUACGUUGCCUUGAUGUUGAAAGCUUGCUUAUGAUGUUAGGGUAUUACGGUCAAAAGGUUAGAACGAAUUACAUUCGUUAAGGAUGUUGACGUAAUGACUUUAAA